rnacentral:tRNA from 1 species
GCCUUCUUGGUGUAGUGGUCAGCACACUCGACACGUAACCGAGAGGUCCGUAGUUCAAUUCCCGGCUAGGGCA